AUGAAGUCUAAUAAUAGCUCAGUCAACCUUUCUUUAGACAGAAAUUUAAUUUUGUCCUUGAGAUGCAGAAUACUUACCUCAUGCUCAUCAUCUGAUUCUCUAAUGUCCAUAAGAGCUUGCUUUUCUUCAACUUCAUCUUCUGAGUCUUCAUCAGAGGUUUCCCCCCAAGCAGCAACCAUAUCCUUGGUUGAACCUUUGUUUCUCUUGGUUGAACAUGUUCCUUCUUCCUGUUUCUUCGUUCAACCCUUUCUUUCUUCCACUCAAUUUUUCAUUGAGGGCAAUUUUUGAUCAUGUGGUUUGUCAUAGAACACUUAUAGCAUUCAUCAUUGAAAGAAAAUAAAUAAGGCUCAAAGGCUUAACGAAGGAUAAAGUGUUUGGAUCUUGGGGAGAAUAUGAAAAAAUCUCGGGGAUGGUCAAAAAUCACACGUCUACAAUCAUUGGUCUGUUUCUCAUGAGCUCUUGUCUUGUUAAGGUUUGUGCCUCUUGAUGAACCCUUUCCUCUCAUCAGGUACUUUUUGAAAUCUCUAGUGAUCAUAGCCAUCUCAUCAUCUUCCAGAUCUGAACAUUCUGCAAUUUUGAGAGCUAAGCUUUUUUCCUUCUUAGGUGUAUCCAUCUUCCUGGUUUGCCUUCUACGUUCAUAAGCAGUAUGAUUUCCAAUCAGUUAAUCCAGUCUGAGAGUGGCUAUAUUCUUGGACUCCUGAAUGGCGGUGAUUUUGCUUUCCCAAGCAACUGGAAGAACUCCUGUCAAGAUCUUCUCAACUUUGUCUUCUUCAAGAAUAACUCUUCCAAGAGACGUCGGUUCAUUUGUCAGUGUACUGAACCUAGUAUACAUCUCUUGAAUAGUUUCUCCAUGUUUCAUAGCAAAAUUCUCAUACUGAGAAUACAACAGUGUUCCUCUAGAUCUCUUCACUUGAGCGUUCCUUCAUGAGAAACUUGCAAAGUGUCUCAUACCUCUUUGGCAGUAGUACACCUUUGGAACCUGUUGUACUCAUUUGGACCCGGCCCAUAUACAAGCCAUUUCUUGGCCUUAGCAUUUUUCUCCCAAUUUUUUCAAUUCUUCAGCAGUGCAGUCAGCCCUUGUCUUUGGCACUUCCAGU
rnacentral:lncRNA from 1 species